rnacentral:sRNA from 1 species
GUUUUUGUUAGGUAAAAGAAAAGAAUUGUUUCAAAAGACAUUCCAAUUCGUACCGUUAGCAAGAAUAUUAUAUUUGUGCAAAAUGCACGAGGAGGAAUUUCAUUAUGGAACAAGGUACAGUAAAAUGGUUUAACGCAGAAAAAGGUUUUGGCUUUAUCGAACGCGACGGUGGAGAUGACGUAUUCGUACAUUUCUCAGCUAUCCAAGGAGACGGCUUCAAAUCUUUAGAAGAAGGACAAGCAGUAACUUUCGACGUUGAAGAAGGAAACCGCGGACCUCAAGCAGCAAACGUAAACAAAGCUUAAUUUAACUUAAAAUUAAAUUGAUAAGAACUUGGCGUAAAUCGCUAAGUUCUUUUU